GCCUGGGUGGCUCAGUUGGUUAAGUGUCUGACUUCAGCUCAGGUAAUGAUCUUGCAGUUCAUGGGUUUGAGCCCCACAUCAGGCU
rnacentral:tRNA from 1 species